rnacentral:rRNA from 1 species
UUCGCAGGCGGCGUAUUAAGUCAGUGGUGAAAUCCCGAGGCUCAACCUCGGAACUGCCAUUGAUACUGGAAGUCUUGAAUUUGGUUGAAGUGGGCGGAAUGUAGCAUGUAGCGGUGAAAUGCUUAGAUAUGCUACAGAACACCGAUCGCGAAGGCAGCUCACUAAGCCAAUAUUGACGCUCAGGCACGAAAGCGUGGGGAGCAAACAGGAUUAGAUACCCUGGUAGUCC